UACGUAGGUGGCAAGCGUUGUCCGGAUUACUGGGCGUAAAGAGCGCGCAGGCGGUCGAUUAAGUCGAAUGUGAAAGCCCCCGGCUCAACUGGGGAGGGUCAUUCGAUACUGAUCGACUUGAAGGCAGGAGAGAGAAGUGGAAUUCCCGGUGUAGUGGUGAAAUGCGUAGAUAUCGGGAGGAACACCAGUGGCGAAGGCGACUUCUUGGGCCUGUU
rnacentral:rRNA from 1 species